rnacentral:rRNA from 1 species
AGCGGCGGACGGGUGAGUAACGCGUGAGAAUCUACCCAUGAGUGGGGGACAACCCGGGGAAACUCGGGCUAAUACCGCAUACGCCCUACGGGGUAAAGCAGGGGACCUUCGGGCCUUGCGCUGAUGGAUGAGCUCGCGUCGGAUUAGCUUGUUGGUGAGGUAAAGGCUCACCAAGGCGACGAUCCGUAGCUGGUCUGAGAGGAUGAUCAGCCACACCGGGACUGAGACACGGCCCGGACUCCUACGGGAGGCAGCAGUGGGGAAUCUUGGACAAUGGGGGCAACCCUGAUCCAGCCAUGCCGCGUGUGUGAAGAAGGCCUUCGGGUUGUAAAGCACUUUCAGUAGGGAGGAAGGCUUACCCCUAAUACGGGUGAGUACUUGACGUUACCUACAGAAGAAGCACCGGCUAAUUUCGUGCCAGCAGCCGCGGUAAUACGAAAGGUGCAAGCGUUAAUCGGAAUUACUGGGCGUAAAGCGCGCGUAGGCGGUGUGUUAAGUCGGAUGUGAAAGCCCAGGGCUCAACCUUGGAAUUGCAUCCGAUACUGGCACGCCAGAGUGCAGUAGAGGGAGGUGGAAUUUCCGGUGUAGCGGUGAAAUGCGUAGAGAUCGGAAGGAACACCAGUGGCGAAGGCGGCCUCCUGGACUGACACUGACGCUGAGGUGCGAAAGCGUGGGGAGCAAACAGGAUUAAAUACCCUGG